AAGAUACCAGCAGAGAAGCUUUCCAAGCAAACUACUAAGCAGGGUUAAGCUUCUAAGACUAGCUUGUCUUCAGAUAAGAUUUCCAAGGGAAUUUGGAAAUCAAAUAACAUAGACACUAAAAUACGUGCAAGCUAUUAUGAAAAUAAUCUUUUCUUAUCACACUAGAAGGCAGUAAAUGUUAUACUUACCACUACAGAGAGGCUGGUGUGAUCCUGAGCAAUACAAAUCUACAAACCUUCAGGACGCAAAAAACUAACUGGAAGUUAGUCCUCUAAAAGUCCAGAACAUGUAAAAGAUUGUUAUGUCAGGUCUAAUCAGGAAGAAUUCCACCUGAAAAACGGUUCCUCUGUCAUCUGCUCUUUGCACAGCUGGAGCACUUGGAGGCUGCACCACUUUUUGCCUGGGCUCUGGAAGCCAACAGGGCACUUACCCGAGCUGCUGUCGCUGGGAAUCUGCAGCCCAAGCAAUAAGAGUUCACAGAUUGUUUUGCUGGAAGUGCAGUUUAUCAUAAUUUCAGCAAGUACUAAAUGCGUAUGACCCAUCACCAGUAUUUUCCCUGCAUUUAUUUUUGUCAGGUAGGAGCUGUUCAAAACAAAUUUUAUUGCAUGUUUGA